CGUAGCCUAUUGGUUAUAGUUUAAAGGUUUCUACAUUCAAGUCUGAGGUUCAAAUCCCAGACUAUGCAAUUUCUUGCAGAUUGCACAGGAAAUUCAGGUUUCAAUUCUCGAAGCAAGCGAUUUAUUCAACAAUUAUGCGAUUACGGAAGAAAGGCUUACAAGAGUUUCUCAACAUGGUGCAAGUAAAUCCGGUCAAACGUAAUCUUCAUAAGACGGCUCAAAUAAGGCAGUUAGGCGUAGAUCCUCAUAAGGCAGAUAGUAUUGUCGGUAAUCGAAUCGUCUUUGUAAUCUUUCUCAUAAUUGUAAUAUCUUAAAUAAAUUCUCGACAAAAAGAAAAAAAAAGAUUUUUACCAUAUUCUAAAAACCGGACGCCUACUUAUCCGCCUCGAUUUAUACCAAAUCAAUCUUAAAACUGGAUAUCUGAUUUUUAUCCGUCUAGACCGUCUAGAUGACCGCCUAACUGCCUAGACGACCGCCUAAUCUAUUUUAUUAUUUAUUUUAUUUUUUAAUAAUGGUUUAUUUAUCUAUUUAUUUUAUUUAAAUUUUGAUAAAUAUAAUUUAUAUUCAUAAUUUUUUAUACAGUCUUAGACAUAAAAAUAUAUUAAUGUUAUACACAAUUAAAUAUUAACAUGUGUUAUAACAUACUAAAGAAUCUAAAAAUUCUGCUCCGCAUAAUUUUUUAUUAGUCUUAGAUUUUCUUUUUAGACGCUAUGUCCAACCCAACCGUCUGACUAGCGCUUAAUACCUAACGCGUUUCCGAACAGCGGCUUUUUGCCUUCCUCGAACAUUCCUUGACCGUACAACCCAAAAUAAUGUCCUAUGGGACCAAAUCGGGUGAGCAACCGUAAGUUUUCUAUUAUAUUUUAAAUUUACAAGUUCCUAGAAAUUUAUGUUUAACUAAUAGUUAAUUUGUGUUACGAAAUAGUCGAAAUUAAUGUAGAUAUGGUUUCGCUGCAUGAAUUUCAGUACCGCCUAUUUGGAUUUUGUAUUUUUUUUUAUAGAAAGUUUUUUUUCAAAACCACAAAUAAGCUACUUUAACUUUUUUUUACAUGUUUAGGAGAUUGGAGCUUUUCCAAUAUUUGCUAUCAUUGGUAUGCAUAGACGUUUCAGAUUUCGGUAAAAACAUCGGUUCCGUUGGAUUGGGUAUUUUGGAUAUUGGGUUCAGUAAAAAUUAGAAGAUACAUUUACUAUCUAAUUAUUUUUGGUUCAGG
rnacentral:lncRNA from 1 species